rnacentral:misc_RNA from 1 species
UCCUUUCAAUUAUCAAACUUUUACAUAUAGAGAUAUAUGUAAAGAUGUUUGGAAUACAAUUGAGAAAAGUAAUAUUCUUUAUAGUAUUGCUUUCUUAAAAACCAGAAAUACUAUGUUUUGAUUUUUCUUCACCUCAUUUUGUAUAUCAUUUAACAAAUGAGCAUGAGUAAAAAAUAUACAAUACUUU